GAUCAACGCUGGCGGCGUGCCUUACGCAUGCAAGUCGCACGGCUCUUCUGCAAGGGAGGGUAGUGGCGGACGGGUGAGGAACACGUACCUAACCUGCCGAUGAGCGGGGGAUACCCCGGGAAACCCAGGACAAUACCGCAUGUGGUCUUGUGGUUGCGGCCACAAGAGUAAACCCGUGAGGGGUUCAUCGGAGGGGGGUGCGGCCGAUUAGCUGGUUGGUGGGGUAACGGCCUACCAAGGCGACGAUCGGUAGCUGGUCUGAGAGGACGGCCA
rnacentral:rRNA from 1 species